rnacentral:rRNA from 1 species
AAUCAACGCUGGCGGCGUGCCUAACACAUGCAAGUCGAACGAGAAAGUGGAGCAAUCCAUGAGUACAGUGGCGCACGGGUGAGUAACACGUGACUAACCUACCCUUGAGUGGGGAAUAACUUCGGGAAACCGAGGCUAAUGCCGCAUAACACCUACGGGUCAAAGGAGCAAUUCGCUUAAGGAGGGGGUCGCGGCAGAUUAGUUAGUUGGCGGGGUAAUGGCCCACCAAGACGGUGAUCUGUAUCCGGCCUGAGAGGGCGCACGGACACACUGGAACUGAAACACGGUCCAGACUCCUACGGGAGGCAGCAGUGGGGAAUUUUGCGCAAUGGGGGAAACCCUGACGCAGCAACGCCGCGUGGAGGAUGAAGUCCCUUGGGACGUAAACUCCUUUCGAUCGGGACGAUUAUGACGGUACCGGAAGAAGAAGCCCCGGCUAACUUCGUGCCAGCAGCCGCGGUAAUACGAGGGGGGCGAGCGUUGUUCGGAAUUAUUGGGCGUAAAGGGCGCGUAGGCGGUCGGAUAAGUCUUGUGUGAAAUCUUCGGGCUCAACUCGAAGUCUGCACAGGAAACUAUCUGGCUUGAGUGUGGGAGAGGUGAGUGGAAUUCCUGGUGUAGCGGUGAAAUGCGUAGAUAUCAGGAGGAACACCUGUGGCGAAAGCGGCUCACUGGACCACAACUGACGCUGAGGCGCGAAAGCUAGGGGA